AUUGAACGCUGGCGGCAGGCUUAACACAUGCAAGUCGAGCGAGCGGCGGACGGGUGAGUAAUGUCUGGGAAACUGCCUGCUGGAGGGGGAUAACUACUGGAAACGGUGGCUAAUACCGCAUACCAUCAGCUGUGCCCAGAUGGGAUUAGCUAGUAGGUGGGGUAAUGGAUCACCUAGGCGACGAUCCCUAGCUGUUCUGAGAGGAUGACCAGCCACACUGGAACUGAGACACGUUCCAGACUCUUACGGGAGGCAGCAGUGGGGAAUAUUGAAGAAUGGGCGCAAGACUGAUGCAGCCAUGCCGCGUGUGUGAAGAAGGCCGUCGGGUUGUAAAGCACGUUCAGCGAGGAGGCGGUACUCGCAGAAGAAGCACCGGCUAACUCCGUGCCAGCAGCCGCGGUAAUAC
rnacentral:rRNA from 1 species